AUUCCACACAAAACGGCAUCUAUCGAUGAGAUACGGUGUCGACCAGGACUGAUUAAAACGACUCAAAAGGAGGGAGCAAAAAUCGUUCUCACAUUACCAACUACACAUCUGUGCCAUAAUGAUCAAGUAAAAAUAGAUCACGGGUGCAAGUUGAGUCAAUACGAUCCGGAACAGGUCUACUUUAUUUUAAGUUCCAAUUUAAAAAGGUCUGCCUCCUUAAUUGAAUGGUUUCUAGAUCGCAACGUAAACAAAAUCGUGUUGGCAACGACAGAAUCAAUCGGCAGCUCACACGCCGCUCGAAAAAUCAACGAACACGUAUCGAAGCAGAACGCAUCCGUUCUCAUGACGUCAGCUAGCAAGGCCCGAUCUCCAUCCGGUGCUGAAGAGCUUUUAGCGCAAGCCACGGUGCUUGGAGAGGUCACGGCAAUUUUUUCAGUGGCAUUUGUAAGGCUCAUUUUUUUUCAAGAAACACUUCAGAAAUGUUCAUAAUGUACACCCAAUUCUAUCACCUGUUACAGCUCGAUAGGUGGUUAAAAUUUGAUAAAUGUUCUAAGGGCCGUUCAAGUAUUACGUAACGCACUUGGGGAGGAGAUAGGGGGGGGGUUGAGCUAGCGUUACGGCGCGUUACAACUGGGGAGGGGCGGGGAAUUCUAGCGUUACGUAAAAAAUCCGAGCCGUGGGGAAAAAGUAACUUUGAAGAAAAAGCGUGCAAAAAAUUGAGGAUUUUUUUAGGGAGAUUUUUUGAAAAUGAGAGGGUAGGUCAGGCUAGCGUUACGUAAUUCAAAAGGGCGGUGUAGGGCUGCGUUACGGGUGCGUUCCAAGAGGGGGGAUAAACAAAUCGGGGAAAAUGCGUUACGUAACGCUUGAUUUUUUUUUGUGUCGCACUAGGUGGUUUUGAAAUUGCCAAGGAAACACCCAGAUCUGUAGUAACAUUUCGCCUAACAACUUGAACUUCACAAGAAAAUUUUUUAAAACAUUUGAAAGAGCUUAGUGAAACUAGAAAAUUCUUAUUGAAUGACACAUUUCGAUGAAAUUAUCAUAUGUUAUGAUGUCACAUAUAUUUAUUGACGAUCUUUACGUUCAGAAAAAUUUUUUGCACACCCACAUUAACUUCUUCCCUCUGCCUAGGAUAUGAAUACCGAGAUCGUUAAAAAUACCCAAAAAGCCGCAAGGAAGUUGAACAAGUCUUGUUCUUUCAUUAAUAUUUGGUGAAAAGCAGCGCCUUCUCUUUUGACGACUCAAUUUCAAUCGUUUGUGACAGCCAUCUUGACUAUACCCAAGCCCUCA
rnacentral:lncRNA from 1 species